rnacentral:rRNA from 1 species
AGCAGCCGCGGUAAUUCCAGCUCCAAUAGCGUAUAUUAAAGUUGUUGCAGUUAAAAGCUCGUAGUUGAAUUUCGGGAUCAAUAUGUCGGUCGUGCUUUUUGGUACGUACUGGCGUCAUUGGUUUCUCCUUUCUGACGAACCAUGAUGUCAUUAAUUUGGUGUUAUGGGGAGUUAGGACUGUUACUUUGAAAAAAUUAGAGUGUUUAAAGCAGGCUCACGCUUGAAUACAUUAGCAUGGAAUAAUGAAAUAGGACGUAUGAUCCUAUUUUGUUGGUUUCUAGGAUUGACGUAAUGAUUAAUAGGGAUAGUUGGGGGGCAUUAGUAUUCAAUUGUCAGAGGUGAAAUUCUUGGAUUUAUUGAAGACUAACUACUGCGAAAGCAUUUGCCAAGGAUGUUUUCAUUAAUCAAGAACGAAAGUUAGGGGAUCGAAGACGAUCAGAUACCGUCGUAGUCUUAACCAUAAACUAUGCCGACUAGGGAUCGGAUGAUGUUAAUUUUUUAAUGACUCAUUCGGCGCCUU